rnacentral:tRNA from 1 species
AAAAGAUAAGCUAAGUUUAAGCUAUUGGGUUCAUACCCCAUUUAUGAGAAACCUCUCUUUUUAA